UCAAUGACACAGACGUAUAUCGCAGGGGGAAAAAAUAAUAAGAACCAAGAAACUCUAGAAUCUCACUUGUGAUGAAAAAGGAGGUGGCGAGCGUUGAGGAGGAAAUCGUCGCGAACGAGGUCAGAGGAGACGAAGAGUAGUAGAGACAACAGGCUAGCGGAGAGAGCAGCUGUGGACGCCUGCUGCCAGCGGGGUUGAGUGGGCCGUUAUGACAGGGGGGGUUAAAAAGAGGAGGGAAACAAUGAUACAGGGGAAAGUCUAAGCGACUGUUUGACACUCGCCCAAAAAUAACUCUUGAGGAGCAGUUGGGGGUGUCGUCGUCGCUUUAAAGCGGACUGCCCACAGGACUCCUCGCAAUAAAGAGGAUGAAGGAAAGGGGGCGUCCACUGGCGAGCUUGAAGCAAAGAAUAUAAUUUGUUUCUGCGUAAAUUUUACUAAAUACUCAGUAACUUUGGAAGUUCCAAAAAUCUCCGGAAUAUUUUGAUCUUUUUUUUUAUUUUCA